AUUGAACGCUGGCGGCAUGCCUUACACAUCCAAGUCGAACGGCAGCACGGGUGCUUGCACCUGGUGGCGAGUGGCGAACGGGUGAGUAAUACAUCGGAACAUGUCCUGUAGUGGGGGAUAGCCCGGCGAAAGCCGGAUUAAUACCGCAUACGAUCCACGGAUGAAAGCGGGGGACCUUCGGGCCUCGCGCUAUAGGGUUGGCCGAUGGCUGAUUAGCUAGUUGGUGGGGUAAAGGCCUACCAAGGCGACGAUCAGUAGCUGGUCUGAGAGGACGACCAGCCACACUGGGACUGAGACACGGCCCAGACUCCUACGGGAGGCAGCAGUGGGGAAUUUUGGACAAUGGGCGAAAGCCUGAUCCAGCAAUGCCGCGUGUGUGAAGAAGGCCUUCGGGUUGUAAAGCACUUUUGUCCGGAAAGAAAUCCUUGACUCUAAUACAGUCGGGGGAUGACGGUACCGGAAGAAUAAGCACCGGCUAACUACGUG
rnacentral:rRNA from 1 species